AACUUCUUCAACUAAAAGCAUCAUUUUUUUAACGAAACAAAUAUUUUUUAAAAAGAAAAAAUUGUUUUCUUAUAUAAAAUAACAAGUAUAUACUGUAAAUAAUAUGCUUUUUUAAACAAAAUAAAUAUUUUUUUAAACAAAGAAUUUGUUUUUUAAAAUCAAAUAACAAGUAUUUAAUACCAACAAUAUAUUUAUUAGGAGAAAGAAUUGAUCUCCUCAUUAUAUGCCGAAAAGAAAUAAAACGCUUACAACGCGUGAGUGUCCAAAGUGAACACAACCAAAGACGUGCGAAAGGCACGAGGCUGUUUACCUAACAACAGCAAUGCCGCCAGCGCUAACGUAGCGUCUUCGCGUAGAGAUGAAGAGUGGAACCGUAAUAUAUUGCGCGCGACAAAAACAAACGAGAGCGUGAGCGAGCCUAACGCUCGCGUGUUCUACAUGCUCGUUUAUCGCGCGCAGAGCAUCAUGGUCCCAUCGACGUUGUGAGCAUAAGUGAAUAUCUUCUUGAAACUUCUCGACGGCAGGAGAGAGUUAUUCGAAGUUAUCCUGUAAUAGUUUGUUCGAGAUUCUCAUGUAAAAUCGAUACAGUGAUAAGAUACAGUGAUCUGAUGGAUCAAGCAUAGAGACAUUGGGUACUCCAAAAUGACGUCUAAGGAUAAUUUAAUGUGACUAGGGCAAGGAUAAUUUAAUGUGACUAGGGCAAUAAUUGACUAAUAUUGACGAGGAAUACACAAGACUAUGGCAGAUAAAGAAGUGAAAAAUGUAUUAAAAGACUUGAAGCUGGAGUGUUUCAUUGAAAAUUUUGAAAAGAACAUGAUUACUAUUGAGGCAUUGCCACAUUUUAUAAAAGACAUUAUUGCAGAAUUGAUACCCAUUAUUGGGCAACGUUUAAUAUUUCUAAACUAUUGGAAAAAACGAUAUAAUUUGCAAAAUUCGACAUGUAUCUGAAACGUUAGUUAAUUCUGCAUCCAAUAAAAAAAGAAAAGUAGAACAACAAAAAGAAGAGGCUGAUUCUAUACAUAGUGCAGCUUUAUUAAGCGAAGAUGAAGAGCAAUUAUGUGUGCAAAGUAACGCUUGUGUUGCAAAGACAGUAAAAUAUGUGUUUCCAAUGUCAUUACAAGCUCUACUUAAAACGAGUAAUAUAUAGGACAACGGAUAGUAAUAUAUAGGACAACGGAUUCUGGCAUAUUAUGAAGAAAACAAGAAAUUAGAAGAAAGUAUGAAAAAUAAAUUAUGUGAUGUUAUCGUAACUGAUUACAAAUAGAAAUGCGAAGUUAACAAACGAUUUAGCUGAUCGUAUAUCAGAAAUGAUUGUGUCUAUUUUUCCCACUGAAGUGAAAACAACAUAUUAUGCGCCACCUAUAUCGAAAAAAGAUUCGAUUACAAAGAAGCCUAUUAUUUCCCGUGGAAAGUUAUUAAAUAUGUGGCGAAAUAGAUCCACUUUAUUUUAAAAAAUUUGAAGUUAAAUUAAAGAAGAAAUGUGAAAGAGAUGAACCUGUUCUAGAAGAUAUUGAUGAUAUAGUGCAAGAAAGUAGUAGAUGGUUAAAGGAAAACCAAGCACCAUGGCAAAUGGUUUUGCAACAUUGGCAUGUAACUUUCGAUGUUCCUGGAGACAUGACUAUUAUUAGAGAAGAAGCACGAAAAAAUGCAGAAAUAUUGAAAAUUACACUACAACCUUAUAUAAUUAUUCUUGGAUCGCCGGAUGAGAUUAAAGAAACGUACGUGCAAGUGGAUGACAUCUUAUAUAAGACAACAAGUAUUGUAGAAGCUAUAGAUAUUUGUUUUAAAACGUUUCACAUUUUUCAAAUAAGUUAUCCUCCGAUGAGCGAACAUAUUUGGACAUUAAUUCAGAAAAGUAUUUAUAAUUUUACAACAAAAUGGAAUAGAAUGUUCCCUAGUACAGAGUACGUAUUGAGCAAAAUCUUUCAAUCAUUCCGCGACGAAAAUAAAGCAAUUAAUUAAAAUAGCACUCAUAAAUAUAUCAUUAUAACUUGUUAGUAGACAAGAUUCAUUUGAAAAUGAUUUUAUAUUUUUUUGUGAUAAAAGUUUCUUAUCGAUUGAAACAGUAAUGUUCAAAUUGAAACACAGAAUGCUUAUGAACUCGGAAACGAAAUGUAACUUUACAAACUGCGUUGGUAUAUAUAAUAAUGUUUAUACUUUACGAACUCACGUGAUAAAAUCACAUUUAAGAAAAGUAUCUACAUAAGAUACAUUAUGCCAAAAGAACAUAGUACAGAGUAAUAUUGAAUCAUAAAAUGUAUUAUCAUAAUGUUCUUUUGAAAGCAAGUUUCAAGUUUUUAAUACUGAUAGUUUAUUCAAUCUUAUUGAUGAUGCAGACAAAGUAGAUAUUGAAGCUUUUAAAGACUUUAUAUCUGAAUAUGCUCUUCGGUUCGUUACAAAACUAUAUGCUGCUGGACAUUUAAAUAGAAAAGUGAUACACGAGAUUAUAAAUGAUAUUGCUAUAAAUUAUAUUUCAGUUUGCAUUGAUUUUAUAUUUAGUUUGCAUAUAUUUUAUAUAAAUAUAAAAAGGUACAAGACUUAGAUGUUACGAACAAUAAAACAUGGCUUUGAACCAUUUAAAAACGAAUACCAGAUAUUAAAAUAUAAAAAAAAAUUUCUUAUUUCUACCAAAAUUAGUAAUCAUUAAUAGUACUUUAUCGUAUGGUAAAACUAAAAGAAGAACUCAAUCGCAUAUACAGCACCAAAAAUUAAGUAUAGUACCCAUAAAAUCGAUUUUAACAAAAUUUUUAGAGCUUCCAGACCCCUAACAGCACGCGACGUACUGCGUAUCAUCCCAUUUUCGUACUCAUUGUACUGUGAUCAUCUGUGACGUACUAAGUUGAACGC